GUUGGUUUGCUUCCAAACCCAUGCCAGCCAGCUUCCCUGACGGCAAACAUAAAAGAUGCUUAAGAAUGAUGUUCCCACUGAACCGCCUUCUGUCCACAGCCAUUGGCUUCUUUCCAUGUGGUGUGGCCACGGGCAUGGCACACUUGAGGAGCCUCGGCCUCCUGUUGCUGCUGCAUACCCAGCCAGCCCUGAUGUCCACAGAGCCAGCCCCACUCCCUUCCCCAAUAGCCCUGUAGGCUGGUCAGCUUACUGUUCAAGAGCU
rnacentral:lncRNA from 1 species